rnacentral:rRNA from 1 species
AGUCAUAUGCUUGUCUCAAAGAUUAAGCCAUGCAUGUCUCAGUACAAGCCAAAUUAAGGUGAAACCGCGAAAGGCUCAUUAAAUCAGUUAUGGUUCCUUAGAUCGUACCCACAUUUACUUGGAUAACUGUGGUAAUUCUAGAGCUAAUACAUGCAAACAGAGCUCCGACCGGAGACGGAAGGAGCGCUUUUAUUAGAUCAAAACCAAUCGGUGUCGGGUUCACGCCCGUCAUCGUACAUUUUGGUGACUCUGAAUAACUUUUUGCUGAUCGCACGGUCUAGCACCGGCGACGCAUCUUUCAAAUGUCUGCCUUAUCAACUGUCGAUGGUAGGUUCUGCGCCUACCAUGGUUGUAACGGGUAACGGGGAAUCAGGGUUCGAUUCCGGAGAGGGAGCCUGAGAAACGGCUACCACAUCCAAGGAAGGCAGCAGGCGCGCAAAUUACCCACUCCCGGCACGGGGAGGUAGUGACGAAAAAUAACGGUACGGGACUCAUCCGAGGCCCCGUAAUCGGAAUGAGUACACUCUAAACCCUUUAACGAGGAUCAAUUGGAGGGCAAGUCUGGUGCCAGCAGCCGCGGUAAUUCCAGCUC